rnacentral:sRNA from 1 species
AAAGCCCGCAAGGGUGAGUACAGCGGCGCAUUGGCGNGUAACACGUGGGAUAAUCUACCUCGAAGUCUGGAAUAACUCCCCGAAAGGGGUGCUAAUGCCGGAUGAGACCACGGGAGCCCCGGCUCCCGAGGGAAAAGAUGGCCUCUGCAUGCAAGCUAUCGCUUCGAGAUGAGCCCGCGGCCCAUCAGCUCGUUGGCGGGGUAACGGCCCACCAAGGCUACGACGGGUAGCUGGUCUGAGAGGAUGGCCAGCCACACUGGAACUGACACACUGUCCAGACUCCUACGGGAGGCAGCAGUGGG